rnacentral:sRNA from 1 species
GCAGACGACUCACCCUGGGCCGGGGGUGAGGCUUGGACUGUUUCUUUUUCCAAAAGAGGAGCUCAAAAGAGAAAGUUCAUCUAGAAAUCUCAAAGCCAUGUCUCAGGUGAGAUGAUGUUUCCUCUCUUUCUGAAAUAACUUUUUUUCAUGGUGUAUGAACGUGAGCUUCCCUGUCCUUUAACCUUCCCUGAUGAUUUGCUUCCAUGAAAUUAGUCUUCAGUCAGGGCCAGAUUAGGAUGAGGCAGGCAAGUGGCAUGAGGUGAAAUAUUUAAGGGGUACCCUCAGGGCUGUGCCCUCCUAAAUUUUGCAUUCUAGGUGCCUCACCUGCCUCACCCUAUAUCCAGCCCUGUUCACAAUUUCUCCAUUCCAACCAGAUCAACUUAAGCCUUCCCCAAGUGUACCUUCUGGUUGUACAUAUUCAUUGGGUACGUCAUUCAUCAUCUCCUUUCUCAGUCUUCUCACAAACUGCUGAAUAGAAAGGUAUUGUCUUGAUUUAAAUGAGAAUAUAUGGCUUGAAUGAAUUUAACUUGUCCUGAUGCUGAUUUGAGAUCUAAGCUGUGAGAAGU